AGUGAACGCUGGCGGCAGGCCUAACACAUGCAAGUCGAGCGGCAGCGGGUCCUUCGGGAUGCCGGCGAGCGGCGGACGGGUGAGGAAUGCGUCGGAAUCUGCCUUUUUGUGGGGGAUAACGUAGGGAAACUUACGCUAAUACCGCAUACGACCUACGGGUGAAAGUGGGGGACCGCAAGGCCUCACGCAGAAAGAUGAGCCGACGUCGGAUUAGCUAGUUGGCGGGGUAAAGGCCCACCAAGGCGACGAUCCGUAGCUGGUCUGAGAGGAUGAUCAGCCACACUGGAACUGAGACACGGUCCAUACUCCUACGGGAGGCAGCAGUGGGGAAUAUUGGACAAUGGGCGCAAGCCUGAUCCAGCCAUGCCGCGUGUGUGAAGAAGGCCUUCGGGUUGUAAAGCACUUUUGUCCGGAAAGAAAUCCUGUCGGCUAAUACCCGGCGGGGAUGACGGUACCGGAAGAAUAAGCACCGGCUAACUUCGUG
rnacentral:rRNA from 1 species